CGUUCUUUCGCGUCGCCGGCGCUUGCGGUGUGGUUGUUGUACUGGUUACAGCCAGGCUUCAUACGCUAGUCCUGCCCGUGAGUUCCCGUUUUGUGUGUGGUUAGAGCAGCCAACGGGUAUAGAAUGGAUUUUGGAGGAGGGAGUCACCACUGGGCCUACAAGGAAGCCACGUGCAGACAUCUACAACCUUCGAUCUCCUGACGAGUUUAUUGUUGGCCAAAACCAGGCUUUGAUUAAACCAGGAUGAAUGCGGGUGUUGGGAAUACAAUAUAUAUAUACAUAUAAAACCGGUUGGGAGCCACAUAUACCAGUGUGUUGAUCUUGGCUUGAUUCAGUCAGAAAUUGGCGAUGGAAUACGAGAGGGUCCUCUGGAAGGAAAAGAACAGACCCUAUGCUUUCAUGAAAGUGAAGAUCUGGCUGAACCAGUUCCACAAGGUUAUUGUAUACAUAGCCUGGGUUUAAAAGGCUGUGCCCACUUUGAAGAAUGUCAUUGUUAGACUUCGCUGAAAUUUCUAACUACCUACCUGGAUAAAGAAAAUAAAAUCUUUUUUUUUU